rnacentral:rRNA from 1 species
CGCGUGUAGCAGUGAAAUGCGUAGAUAUGCGGAGGAACACCGAUGGCGAAGGCAAUCCCCUGGACCUGUACUGACGCUCAUGCACGAAAGCGUGGGGAGCAAACAGGAUUAGAUACCCUGGUAGUCCACGCCCUAAACGAUGUCAACUGGUUGUUGGGUCUUCACUGACUCAGUAACGAAGCUAACGCGUGAAGUUGACCGCCUGGGGAGUACGGCCGCAAGGUUGAAACUCAAAGGGAUUGACGGGGACCCGCACAAGCGGUGGAUGAUGUGGUUUAAUUCGAUGCAACGCGAAAAACCUUACCCACCUUUGACAUGUACGGAAGUCGCUAGAGAUAGCUUCGUGCUCGAGAGAGAGCCGUAACACAGGUGCUGCAUGGCUGUCGUCAGCU